GUUUGGAGUGGAGGGAGAACCCUUCAUGGCUUCUUCAGGGUUACCCUGUCAAGCCUUUUCUGUCCUGGAUAUGUCCUUAGGUGGUCCCUCUGCAUACAUCUUCAUGGCAGUGAUCUGUGCAUGCUCUUACUGGCUGAACAAUAAAGUCAUUUCUGUUAAAUCAGGGCCACAAGGUUAAACUUGGCUCUGGAGGGAAUCCAGGAAGUGCUAAGUGAUGGAAAAACAUACUUUUCAAGGAGUGGUGGUGUUUCCUUCUUCCUAGUGUUGCAUUAGCUUUGCAGAAGUCUGAUAGCUGCCUGGAUCUGCUAGGUCAUAGCUGUGCCAGGCCUGUGACUGGUUAAAUGAGCUCAAGCAGCUCUCAUGCUGUUUCACACUGCCUGGUUUUUGCUGGAGUGUGGCAGAGAGGUUUGUCUGAGGCCAGGUGUGUGAGAUGUGCUCUCUCUUGCCAGUUUCUUGAAUGAGCUCUGUGGUGAGUGUCUUCCUUCCCAUAUGAAAGCAUGAAAAAACUGCCAAAAGCAGGCAAAUCCACCACUCACUUCUCCUUCUGGAACUACCACUUUCAGCUAAUGGGUUUGAAAGCACAGGGCUUGGAGGCAGGUGGGAAUAUGUGGCACUUUUUCAUCCUGGUAUGGCAAACCAGUGUGUGGUGUGAGCUGGGAUUUCCUCACAUUACUGACAGACCAUUUUCCUCUGCAGAUGUGGCUCAGGGUUGUUGUCCUUUCACCUAUUGAGGUACCUGGGGCAGCUCAUGGACAUAAAUAGAACAUGAGGUUUGGACUGGCUGUUUAACCAGCUGGUACACAAAAUCCCAGAAUCCCAAACUGGUUUGGAUUGGAAGGGACCUGGAAGCCCAUCUCAUUCCAUCCCUUGCCAUGGGCAGGGACACCUUCCACUAGGCUGGGUAGCUCCAAGCCCUGUACAGCUUGGCCUUACUUGUGCUAAUGGGGUCCUGUGUAAAGGGCCAAACAUCUCUGAUGGGAAGAUGCCUGAGAAUUGUGUCAAACUUGAGCUGAGGGCUGCAAUGGAGCUGAAGAGCAGCUUGGUGACACCACAAUUUCUUAUUAAAAUCUUUGGGUUAUUCAUGUAAGCCUUUUACUAAACUUCUUCCUGAACAAGGAUUAGGUUUGUGAUUUAGGGUUUCGAUUGGCUCUCAUUGUGAACCUCUAGUUCCUAAUAUUAAUCAGGUAGUGAGCAGAGUUCUUGCUUCUGUUGGCUACUCAAAGCAAGUGGCACUUGAUCAGCUGGUUGGUGUCUGAAGCAGAGAUCAUCUUUUUUUCCCUGUCUGGGCUGUGUUCCCACACAUCCUUCCCAUCAGCUCCAUGAAGCUGUACUGUAAGUUACAUUCAGGAUGUAAUGUAAGUUACAUUCAGGAAUUGCAUGGAAAUGUGACAUCCUGCACAAUAUUUUCCUGGUGAACCAGUGGGCCCUGUUUUUCAGGGUCAAGCUGGUACCAAAAGGACUGCAAGGGAAGAGGAGGUAGGAGAGCAAAUCUGCUACAGAGGGGUAGGGAGUAGGUGGGAACACACCCACAGUGUAUCAGGUAAACUCCUGUGUGCUGUGGUGAUAAACAGUUUGUUUUCCCACUGUGCUGUUGUCAGUGGAGUUGACAUAUGGAAAUCGAGGAUUAAGCAGGGAAGUAGUUAAUGUGGAAAAAAGCCCUGCCUUUUGUAGGGAACAUACUUGCACCUGAAAUCCAAACCAAGACACUGGAGUCCAAGGUUGAUUAUUGGUGGGAAGAGUGCUCCAGGGCAGCACUUGCUUUCCUGAGCAGAAGAUAAUUUUGAGCAUAACCUAAGCUCAGUCCCUCCCUUGCUGAUUUAGAUGAUAUGUGGAAAUUUUCCACUGUAUAUAAGCUGAUUCAGCUAAUCCUGCUGUUUCUGUACCUUCUGGUGCAGGCAUAGACUCUGCAUGGCUGCUGUAAUGCUGACUGGUACUAAGAUUGUAUUAAAUUGGUGGCUGUUUUUUCUCUCCAAGCUUUCCUUUGCUCUGUUGUCAUGUUGGAGUCGUGAGAUUUUUCUUUCCCUCCCUUCCCUGUUUCCCUGUGGGGCAAUGGGAAACUUAAGCCAUGGAAGAAACGGCACUGUUGAACAUCAGAUACAGUGAGGGUCAUCUUUACUGAGGUGUUUGGGAGAUCAGGGAGACAGGCUGAGCUCUCUGCAGCUUUCCCAGAAGGCAGCUUCUUUGGUCAGCUGUGUUCUUCACUCCUCUCCUCCCUCUCCUUCCCAGUAAUGUGCUGGGCAUUAUACAUAGUGUGACCCUAAUUAAAACGUGGGGAAGGUGUCAAGUAAGUAGAGAUGGGCACAUUUGAUAGGACCUGUGAAAGAAGAGUUUUCAGGAGCAGUGGCAUCUUCCCCAACAGAACUGAGUCACCCAGGCUCCUGAGCAGUUGGUUUCAUGGCAUUACACAAACCUGUCACACACCCCCAGUAGCUGUUGCCUGUGGCCUUGAAGGGCUUUCCGAGGAUUGUGCUGUUUCAUCUGACCUGGGGUGGUUCCCUUUGUGCUUCACUGCCUCUGCCUGGAUUGUGUCUGCCCUUCCUGUCCUAAGGGGUUCUCAGAAAGGAGAUUUGACAGAGUGCAGCUAUGCAGCUGCUUUAGUGUUACAUUGGAUUGAUGUACAAAUCUCCUGAGUUCUCUGUCCUUUAUGUGCUCUAUUUCACAUCCCAGAGUGGUUUUGGAGUGUGUUAGUGGGAUUUACACUAGGUGAAAUGUAAGUGGGUAUUGUCCUCCAGUAGAGAAUGCAAUUUGGUCAUUGGGGCCCAACUGGUGGGAGUAUGAAGGGCUCCCAAGAUCUCAGUGUUGCUGUUGGGUUGGUUUUGCCUGGUGGAUCUGCUCGUGCUGCCUUUGCUGCUUGCUCCUGCACACAGCUAAAAACAGACCAGUGAUUUUGUCUCCUGUUCCCAAGAGACAGCAGUGUCUCUGGUACUUGGCCACCAUCUAGGUCUUGAUUUGCAGAUGGCAGCAGCUGCUUUCUUUUAAAACCAAACUCAGAGUGGUAAUUGCAAGAGCAUUGUCAGCACUGAGCUGACCCAGCCUUCCCUGCUGCCUUAUCUUGUGUGAACCAGCCUCCCUCUCUCCCUGUCUGGCUCUUUUCCAUGGGGUGCUUCUGGGGUGCUGUGCUUGGAAAGUGUCUUACUUUGCUUCCCCUGGCUGCUCACACUCUGCAAAACAGAAAAACAUUCCUGGCUGUUGUUCCUCUUUAAAAAGAUCGAGCAUGACAGAAGAAAUAACUGCUUCAAAAACUGCAAAGAAUAAUCCUGAACUGAUUAAACUAUGAAUAAACAAGUUCUAGCUACUGAAAUGUA